rnacentral:lncRNA from 1 species
UUUACAGGUCCUAGUGUGUUCUGGAGAGGAGAGGUUUUUCCCAAGCCUGCAUGUUGAUGUUCAUCAUAGGGAGUCUGACGGAGGCCUGCUGAACUGCAGCACUCCUGCUGCAGCCACUCAAAUAUUCAGAAGGAAGUUCUGCUGUAAUAAAACUUCAAAGAGGAUCUUGACUGGGAUAGCAGUCCAGGAGCACCAGCAGCAUGUGCAUGGCUUCUGUAAUUGUCAGGUAAAGAACAGUUCCUAUUCCGCCGCCUAUUCCAGAUCCAUUUAGGACUGUCACCUCUGACACAGAGAGCUCCAGGCACAGCAGAGCUCUGGAAUAACUGAUGGUUGAAAGGCACUAUUUGGGAGUGCUGAUUGUAUGCAGAGCAUUGCCCAACUGAACCCCUCUAUCUAAUGACUUGUCAUUGUAAAUAUUUUAUAACCCUUUUUUAGUCUUGAAAAUUGGCUUAUGCUGAUAUCCAAAACUGCAAGUUGGCGCCACAAUUUUAAUCGAAUUGUGAAAAUAUUCCAAGACCCUGCUUCAUCUCAAUAGUGGCUGUGGCAAAUUCCCUAGAACUAAUAAAACUCCCAAGUGGUCUUAUCA